CGCCACUGAGCCAGUCGAAAACAAUAAUAUUUUGAAGUUUCUAUAAAUUAAAAUUGUUUCGUUAUUUGUAAUGCCGAACUUUAGUUUAAAGCUUUAGUGCUUAAUUGUGAUAACAUAAGUCAAGAUAAGUUACAAUGCUGUUUUAUUCACAAAUUUAUAAGAAAAUCGUAAUUAACCUGCAAAAGUUUGGUUUGCAUUUACAACCUGCAUUUAUUUACUUCAAUGAUUAUUUUUAUAGUUAUUUAUUAGAUAUAUUGAUUAUUUGAAAAUUUUGGCGGUUCGUCCGCCUUGUGUCUCAUUGUGCACACGCCUUGUCUUACGUAUUGGGAUCUUUCUUUUAUCAACUUAACAAAUGCGAAUAUCAUUCAGUUUUUUCCAAAUGCAAAACUACCGUAGACUUAUGUUUAAAUCAUUCGGCUACCUUUCAGAAUACUGAAAGUAGAUUUGUGGUUGAAGGUAGGAAGCAAGUACUGAAUGCAAAUCACGUGAUAAAAAACAACGCAUCUGUAAUUAAGAUUUUCGGGCUGUGCCUUCAAACAAGUUCUCUCACUGGGAAUUUCUGGUCAAUUUCGUGUAAACAACAAGUAAAAGACAGUUGUGGAAUUUUCGUGCACUUCCAAGGCAAGGAGCUCCUGGGAAGUGUUGUAUUAAAUCUUGUUUUGCAAGACAUCUUUCUGCGGUCAAGCAUUUUUUAUUCUCUUAUACACUAUUAACUCUUUCUUUUAUUAUUUUUACCAGGGAAAGAUUGCAAAUUUAGUAGAAUUUUCAAGCACCGACAUAAAAUGUUAUUGGGUGCAGCGGAAAAGGAAUUUUCAAGGCAAAUAUGACGCCAAACCUUUGACACUAUACUGCGUGAAAGAAGUUAAAAAACGUUGUAGGUCAUUGUCAGAAGCUGAAAGUUCAGAAUGUUUCAAGACAAUGCAUAAGUUUAAUUCUGCUUUGAGUCACCAUCUGUAAGUAUUUUAAUAAAUCGUGUUUAAAGGUGUAUAAUAUGAAAAUAUUGGAUGAAAUUAGAGAUUUACGAUGACAAUAAGAUCUGUUUUUAAGGCAAGAUCGCAAAGUAUAGAGCAGUAUGGGCUAAAGGCUUGUUGCAAGGAAUUUUAUAAGACAAAUUACCUAAAUUCAAUUCCUGAAAAGGUAGCCCUUACUUGCACAUACGGGUCGGAAGAAUGGAAAAUUGAAGGGAAACAUAGAUUAACAGAAUACAACUCGUUUCACAUCUAUCUACAAGUAUCACAACUGAAUUUUUGAGGUCAAAUGGGUCACCUAGAUGUUUAGGGACGAAUUGUGGGGCUCUGAAAAUCAACUAAAUGAAAAACUGAACGUAGAAUAAUACUAUCAAUUGUGUUCUGUGUGUUAUGUAAUGUUCAGUAAAAUAAAAACCUCAAUGUAU